rnacentral:rRNA from 1 species
ACACCUUCCGUAGGGUGAACCUGCGGAGGGAUCACUAAAGAGUCUAAACCACUCCCAAACCCAUGUGAAUAUACCAUCUGUUGCCUCGGCAGGUCGCGCCUACCUAGUAGCACCCUACCCUGUAGGGCCUACCCGGAAGACGCGGAUGACCUGCCGGUGGCCCACGAAACUCUGUCUAGUAUUAAAUUCUGAAUCUAUAACUAAAUAAGUUAAAACUUUCAACAACGGAUCUCUUGGUUCUGGCAUCGAUGAAGAACGCAGCGAAAUGCGAUAAGUAAUGUGAAUUGCAGAAUUCAGUGAAUCAUCGAAUCUUUGAACGCACAUUGCGCCCAUUAGUAUUCUAGUGGGCAUGCCUGUUCGAGCGUCAUUUCAACCCUUAAGCCCCUGUUGCUUAGCGUUGGGAGCCUACAGCACUCGUCUGUAGCUCCUUAAAAUUAGUGGCGGAGUCGGUUCACACUCUAGAACGUAGUACUUUUUACCUCGCCUGUAGUGAGACCGGUCCCUUGCCAUAAAACCCCCCAAUUUUUAAAAGGUUGACCUCGGAUCAGGUAGGAAUACCCGCUGAACUUAAGCAUAUCAAUAAGCGGA